rnacentral:rRNA from 1 species
AGUGAACGCUGGCGGUAGGCCUAACACAUGCAAGUCGAACGGCAGCACAGUAAGAGCUUGCUCUUACGGGUGGCGAGUGGCGGACGGGUGAGGAAUACAUCGGAAUCUACUUUUUCGUGGGGGAUAACGUAGGGAAACUUACGCUAAUACCGCAUACGACCUACGGGUGAAAGCAGGGGAUCUUCGGACCUUGCGCGAUUGAAUGAGCCGAUGUCGGAUUAGCUAGUUGGCGGGGUAAAGGCCCACCAAGGCGACGAUCCGUAGCUGGUCUGAGAGGACGAUCAGCCACACUGGAGCUGAGACACGGUCCAGACUCCUACGGGAGGCAGCAGUGGGGAAUAUUGGACAAUGGGCGCAAGCCUGAUCCAGCCAUACCGCGUGGGUGAAGAAGGCCUUCGGGUUGUAAAGCCCUUUUGUUGGGAAAGAAAAGCAGCAGGUUAAUACCCCGCUGUUCUGACGGUACCCAAAGAAUAAGCACCGGCUAACUUCGUG